rnacentral:rRNA from 1 species
GCAUUCCUGAACUAACGGGUGAGUGACGAUCUCGUCC